rnacentral:rRNA from 1 species
GACGGAGGAUGCAAGCGUUAUCCGGAAUGAUUGGGCGUAAAGCGUCUGCAGGUGGUCGUUCAAGUCUGCUGUCAAAGCCCGGGGCUUAACUUCGGAAAGGCAGUGGAAACUGAACAGCUAGAGUAUGGUAGGGGCAGAGGGAAUUCCUGGUGUAGCGGUGAAAUGCGUAGAGAUCAGGAAGAACAUCGGUGGCGAAGGCGCUCUGCUGGACCAUAACUGACACUCAGGGACGAAAGCUAGGGGAGCGAAUGGG